GAUGAAGAACGUAGCGAAAUGCGAUAAGUAAUGUGAAUUGCAGAAUUCAGUGAAUCAUCGAAUCUUUGAACGCACCUUGCGCUCUUUGGUAUUCCGAAGAGCAUGCCUGUUUGAGUGUCAUGAAAAUAUCAACCUUGACUUGGGUUUUGUGCUCUAGUCUCGGCUUGGAAUUGGGUGCUUGCCGCUUUUACGAGCGGCUCACCUUAAAUGUAUUAGCUGGAUCUGUCUUUGAGACUUGGUUUGACUUGGCGUAAUAAGUAUUUCGCUAAGGACAUUCUUCGGAGUGGCCUCGUUUCUAGGACGCUUGUCCGCUUUACAAUACAAGUUCCACCUCGUGGACAUGACUUUUUAUUAUCUGGCCUCAAAUCAGGUAGGACUACCCGCUGAACUUAAGCAUAUCAAUAAGCGGAGGA
rnacentral:misc_RNA from 1 species